CUUUUGCAAGAGUUUUUCUUCUAUGUGCAAAACUAUUGCAAAACUAUUUCGUGUUGAAUUAGCAUUUUAACUUAUUUCAUUGGCUUGAUGAAGCUCUUAGGGCAGGAGCUGAUUUCCAGAGUUAUUUCCUCUUCCCUCAGUCUUGUUUGCAGACCCAUUGCAGGCACAGCUCCCCCACCUCGAGGUGGCACAUGGCAUGGGGCAAUCAGAGCACCACGACCUUGUCCUCAGAGCCACCCUGGCUGUGGAAAACACCCCCUCAGCACAGAUCCAGCCCGUCCAGAACCACUGCCAAAGGAACAUCAUCUGCUUCCAGGCGUGGGCAAAGUAAGGCUCAAGUGCAUCUAUUAAAAAAACAGUAAUAGAUCUCUUGAUCUGCAGUCUGUCCCUGCCCAGGGCACGGCAGGGCAGGCCGGGAGGGCUGAGCACGGAUCCUUAGCAGCUUGCUGGGACGAGGGGACCAGGGAUCCCUCUGGCACUGGUCUGGGCACGAGGCACGGAGAGCACAAGUGUCCCUGUGUGCCUGUCCCCGAGCGGGGCAGGGGCAGGCCUAGAAGACGGGCAGCUUGGAGGAGGUGAGGGUGCAGGCGUUGAUGUCCUCCGUGUGCGCCGCGCGGUGCAGCGACGGCUCCGACGCGCUGCGGUUGAUCUUGGGCAGGGAGUGCUGCAGCAGCUCGAUGGACGACAGGAUCUGGGGGAACACACCCAGUUAGGGGCUGCUCAGAGAGGCAGCUCUGCCUAGAACCGAAAUACCAACUGCCAAAGGAGUUGGGUUAUGAACAAAGGCAAAAAUAAGAACCAAGCUGCACUUCAUGUAACCCAAACCUUUCACCUGAGCAGAUUCUUUUGUGUGCUAAUGGCUAUUUAUACAAUACCCUGAAACUCCUGUGCACAAAACACACUUACCUGUGGAAACAGAGGUCGUUCUUCCCUAACCUUCUUCAAGCAAUCUGCUACAAGCCUCUUCAUUGCUUUGGGGCAGUUCUUGUACAGUUUACUGAGGUCUGGGGAAGCAUAACCUCGACCAACCAUGAAAAUGAUCUGCAGAACAACAAGGAAGCAGCACAAACCAAAGUCAGGGAAGUGGUUUCACUGGUGGUGAUUAAAUCUGAGUCCCAAAGGACAGCCCAGAGCCCUGCAGAUUAUCCCAGUGAGUUAACCAGGCUGAUGGUCCCCUGUGUGCAGGGCAGGAUGGGACUGCACCAGGAAUGCUGGGCUUUGGAAGGCUCAGCAGGAGAAGGAGCUGUUGGUGCUCCAUGACAUGGACAUGGGAGCUCCUUCUGCUGAGUCUACAGUGACAACCUGAUGUUCAGGGAUCUCUGAAUCACAGAACCAUUCAGGUUGGAAAAGACCUCCAAGAUCAUCAAGUCCAACCUUGAAGUCAUGUUGUAAAAGGAGCUGCCUGCCAGUUGCAAGAGAUCAUCAGAACUAAUCACAACUAAUGCAGCAAAAAAGGAAAUGGACUGUUUUGAGACAAACAAUAAAAGAUGUUAUUAGUGUUGGAAAA